GACGAACGCUGGCGGCGUGCUUAACACAUGCAAGUCGAACGCUGAAGCCCUUUCGGGGGUGGAUGAGUGGCGAACGGGUGAGUAACACGUGGGUAAUCUGCCCUGCACUCUGGGAUAAGCCUUGGAAACGGGGUCUAAUACCGGAUAGGACACAUCGCCGCAUGGGGUGUGUGUGGAAAGUUCCGGCGGUGCAGGUUGAGCCCGCGGCCUAUCAGCUUGUUGGGGGGGUGAUGGCCUACCAAGGCGACGACGGGUAGCCGGCCUGAGAGGGUGACCGGCCACACUGGGACUGAGACACGGCCCAGACUCCUACGGGAGGCAGCAGUGGGGAAUCUUGCGCAAUGGGCGAAAGCCUUACGCAGCAACGCCGCGUGGGGGAUGACGGCCUUCGGGUUGUAAACCUCUUUCGACCGGGACGAAGGGUGACUGACGGUACCGGUAGAAGAAGCACCGGCUAACUACGUGCCAGCCGCCGCAGUAA
rnacentral:rRNA from 1 species